rnacentral:rRNA from 1 species
UCUGGCUCAGGACGAACGCUGGCGGCGUGCUUAACACAUGCAAGUCGAACGAUGAACCACUUCGGUGGGGAUUAGUGGCGAACGGGUGAGUAACACGUGGGCAAUCUGCCCUGCACUCUGGGACAAGCCCUGGAAACGGGGUCUAAUACCGGAUACUGAUCAUCUUAGGCAUCCUAGAUGAUCGAAAGCUCCGGCGGUGCAGGAUGAGCCCGCGGCCUAUCAGCUAGUUGGUGAGGUAAUGGCUCACCAAGGCGACGACGGGUAGCCGGCCUGAGAGGGCGACCGGCCACACUGGGACUGAGACACGGCCCAGACUCCUACGGGAGGCAGCAGUGGGGAAUAUUGCACAAUGGGCGAAAGCCUGAUGCAGCGACGCCGCGUGAGGGAUGACGGCCUUCGGGUUGUAAACCUCUUUCAGCAGGGAAGAAGCGAAAGUGACGGUACCUGCAGAAGAAGCGCCGGCUAACUACGUGCCAGCAGCCGCGGUAAUACGUAGGGCGCGAGCGUUGUCCGGAAUUAUUGGGCGUAAAGAGCUCGUAGGCGGCUUGUCACGUCGGUUGUGAAAGCCCGGGGCUUAACCCCGGGUCUGCAGUCGAUACGGGCAGGCUAGAGUUCGGUAGGGGAGAUCGGAAUUCCUGGUGUAGCGGUGAAAUGCGCAGAUAUCAGGAGGAACACCGGUGGCGAAGGCGGAUCUCUGGGCCGAUACUGACGCUGAGGAGCGAAAGCGUGGGGAGCGAACAGGAUUAGAUACCCUGGUAGUCCACGCCGUAAACGGUGGGCACAUAGGUGUGGGCGACAUUCCACGUCGUCCGUGCCGCAGGCUAACCGGGCCAAUUU